CCUACAGGGGAGAACCAUUUGCUCGAGCUGUGACCCUAACCCUGCCCAUCAAGCAUGGGAUGGUUGAAGACUCUGAAAGGUGUUCUACCUGACUAAGGGGCCUUGCGUCUAGUCAGAGUAGCAGCAGAGGCAACUUGGGGAUAUUUUAGGGUAGGUUGGCGCUUUAUCCCAGGGAACCUCCCCUUGUAAUCGCCCAGGCAGCUGUAACCCUCACCCGGAUCGGAGUAUAUAAGCCGGGUGGGGGAAAAACCCCAAUCAGGCAGAGCCUUCUUCCCCAAGCCUUCUCUAUACCAGACGAGAGAUAAAGAAGAGUCAACAACCAAACUCUGUACACAUAGAUAUGAGCAACCUCGAGGGAAUUCAUCCCCGAGUUGCUCAAGCAACUCACCCAACCAGAUCAAUACAGAGUACAGACACCCACAAACAGGAUUAGAGUAUUACCUCACAUCGAGGGCCCGAACCUAUAUGAAUCUUUGUUCUAGGUGCUAUCAUCGGUGAUACUUGGUCAUGCGCUACCCCGAAUCAUAUAUUACCGCGUUACUAAGAAACACCAACAGUUGGCGCACAAGGUAGGGGCAGCACCCAACUCCCAAGAUUGGGUCCUGAUGGUGUCUUCUGCAAUCAGCUCUGCUUCCGGUGUGAUCGUCUGCUACAACACUGGAGGCCUGGCACCUGCUCUGGGCCAGCUCCUCCGCUUUGGAGAGCUGGACUUCACCUCCGACACGGACAAGCCAUGUCUCCAUUUGAUAUAUGAUAUGUGGGAUAGCAUGAUAGAGAAGGUGGAAAUACCUAUCUAUCGGUUUUAAGGAAAGGACAUAUUUUCUAACUUCUACAGCAUUAUUAAGGAAAUCCUUCUACCCCGUUGGACCAAGAGCACCCCUCUACUGUCUGUCUCACUCACUAAAUCCAAGGUACUAUAGUCAAGAAUGGAUUAAUGAAGUCCCUGGACAUGCUAGCCCCAAUGAUGAUAGUGAAGUUAUUGAGAUGAGAAACAUGUGCUAUCAAAAGCUUUUUCCAGACCAUGAUGACUUCAAGACUAUCGAGAAAGAGUUUGUUGAUUUUGC